UGGCAGGGUUAUACAGGCUCCUGAUUAGAGACAGGAGCAUACAUAAGGUGGCAGGGUUAUACAGGCUCCUGAUUUGAGACAGGAGCAUACAUAAGGUGGCAGGGUUAUAAGCAUACAUAAGGUGGCAGGGUUAUACAGGCUCCUGAUUUGAGACAGGAGCAUACAUAAGGUGGCAGGGUUAUACAGGCUCCAGAUUUGAGACAGGAGCAUACAUAAGGUGGCAGGGUUAUACAGGCUCCUGAUUUGAGACAGGAGCAUACACAAGGUGGCAAGGUUAUACAUGUUUACUGGUGCCAAACCCUCCCCUAACCUUAGUGUUACAGCUCAAAAUAAGAACAAACUAUACAAAUCAGCUGAAAAGGGUGGAACUCAUUAGACCAUUACAAGGCAUAAAAAGCGU
rnacentral:lncRNA from 1 species